GCAAUGCCGCGUGCAGGAUGAAGGCCUUCGGGUUGUAAACUGCUUUUGUACGGAACGAAACGGUGAGCUCUAAUACAGUUCGCUAAUGACGGUACCGUAAGAAUAAGCACCGGCUAACUACGUGCCAGCAGCCGCGGUAAUACGUAGGGUGCGAGCGUUAAUCGGAAUUACUGGGCGUAAAGCGUGCGCAGGCGGUGAUGUAAGACAGAUGUGAAAUCCCCGGGCUCAACCUGGGACCUGCAUUUGUGACUGCAUCGCUAGAGUACGGUAGAGGGGGAUGGAAUUCCGCGUGUAGCAGUGAAAUGCGUAGAUAUGCGGAGGAACACCGAUGGCGAAGGCAAUCCCCUGGACCUGUACUGACGCUCAUGCACGAAAGCGUGGGGAGCAAACAGGAUUAGAUACCCUGGUAGUCCACGCCCUAAACGAUGUCAACUGGUUGUUGGGUCUUCACUGACUCAGUAACGAAGCUAACGC
rnacentral:rRNA from 1 species